rnacentral:rRNA from 1 species
UACGUAGGGUGCAAGCGUUGUCCGGAAUUAUUGGGCGUAAAGAGCGUGUAGGCGGCCCGAUUAGUCCGCUGUGAAAGUCCAGGGCUCAACCCUGGAAUGCCGGUGGAUACUGUCGGGCUAGAGUCCGGAAGGGGCGAGUGGAAUUCCUGGUGUAGCGGUGAAAUGCGCAGAUAUCAGGAGGAACACCAAUGGCGAAGGCAGCUCGCUGGGACGUGACUGACGCUGAGGAGCGAAAGCGUGGGUAGCAAACAGG